rnacentral:rRNA from 1 species
UACGUAGGGUGCAAGCGUUGUCCGGAAUUAUUGGGCGUAAAGAGCGUGUAGGCGGCCAGAUAAGUCCGCUGUGAAAUCUCGAGGCUCAACUUCGAGCUGUCGGUGGAAACUGUCUGGCUAGAGUCCGGAAGAGGAGAAUGGAAUUCCUGGUGUAGCGGUGAAAUGCGCAGAUAUCAGGAAGAACACCCGUGGCGAAGGCGGUUCUCUGGGACGGUACUGACGCUGAGACGCGAAAGCGUGGGGAGCGAACAGG